rnacentral:lncRNA from 1 species
UCCUAAGGUCUUAUGCUCUUAUUUUAUAUUUUCUCACUUAUAAAUAUUUUUAGAAAAUCUAAAUAUUGGUAGGGAAGAUGGAGACACAAGAUUAAACCUUCCUGGCACCUGGGGCACUCAGUUGGUGAUAUGGGGAGGAUGACAGCUGUUUCAACCUAGUUACCUUUGGAAACAUCUCCCUCCCUCCUAUCCACUCCCCUCAAUACAGUGAAUGGUGAAAGCCAGGCAACAAUAACAGUACCUAGGACAACCUGGAGGAACAGGUUCUGCAACCCUGCCCAGCUCACCUGUUAUCUGAUACCACCACUUAGAUGGCAGAAUGAGCGUGUAACGGGUUUGGAAAUGUGCCCAAGCUGAGGCCGCAAAUGCAAGAAGCAGCCCUCAUGUUGAGAAGUGGGAAGGGUAGGACAAAUCACUACUUGACGUAUGCCAGUCACAUAAUUUCACAACAGAGUGGAUAAAGGAACCCCACACAAAAGGAAAUAGAAAAAUGUUAAAGUGAAGCCACUAUAUAACAUACAUGUUUUUCAUAGAU